rnacentral:rRNA from 1 species
CCUACGGGUGGCAGCAGUGGGGAAUAUUGCACAAUGGGGGAAACCCUGAUGCAGCGACGUCGCGUGAGUGAAGAAGUAUUUCGGUAUGUAAAGCCCUGUCAGCAGGGAAGAAAAUGACGGUACCUGACCAAGUAGCCCCGGCUAACUACGUGCCAGCAGCCGCGGUAAUACGUAGGGGGCAAGCGUUAUCCGGAUUUACUGGGUGUAAAGGGAGCGUAGACGGCAGGGCAGGUCUGGAGUGAAAGGCGGGGGCUGAACCCUCGGACUGCUCUGGAAACUGGCAGGCUGGAGUGCAGUAGAGGUGAGUGGAAUUCCUAGUGUAGCGGUGAAAUGCGUAGAUAUUAGGAAGAACACCAGGUGCGAAGGCAGCUUACUGGACUGUAACUGACGUUGAGGCUCGAAAGCGUGGGGAGCAAACAGGAUUAGAUACCCGAGUAGUC